rnacentral:antisense_RNA from 1 species
UUGACGGUGUACUGCCAGUGGUCCUCGGACUCGAGAAGCGCCUGGUAGGCGAAGUGGUCCCCGUCGGUCAGCGUCGACAGCACGGUCUCGUCGCCGUACUUGCCGGCGCCGAUCUUGUUCACCUUGCCGUGCGCGAUCAGGCAGAUCCGGUCCGCGGGCCGGCCGCGCUCGACCAGCACGUCGCCCGGCUGGUACUCCUGCUGCUCGAACCGGCCGGCCAGCUCGGUCAGCACCUCGACGUCGUCGAAGCUGCGCAGCAGGGCCAGCUCACACAGCUCCUGCGGGAUCACCCGCACCUCGGCGCCGGUCGUGGUGAAGGUGACCCGGCCGUCGCCGACGGCGUAACUCAGCCGCCGGUUCACCCGGUACGCGCCCCCGUUCACCUGCACCCAGGGCAGCAUCUUGAGCAACCACCGGGAGGUGAUGCCCUGCAUCUGCGGCUCGGACUUGGUCGUGGUCGCCAGGUUCCGCGCGGCCGCGGUUCCGAGGCUCAGUUGCGGGCGCUGCAC